GAUGAACGCUGGCGGCGUGCUUAACACAUGCAAGUCGAACGAAGCACUUUAUUACAAUUUCUUCGGAAUGACGAUUUAGUGACUGAGUGGCGGACGGGUGAGUAACGCGUGGGUAACCUGCCUUAUACAGGGGGAUAACAGUUAGAAAUGACUGCUAAUACCGCAUAAGCGCACAGGAUUGCAUGAUCUGGUGUGAAAAACUCCGGUGGUAUAAGAUGGACCCGCGUCUGAUUAGCUGGUUGGUGAGGUAACGGCCCACCAAGGCGACGAUCAGUAGCCGACCUGAGAGGGUGACCGGCCACAUUGGGACUGAGACACGGCCCAAACUCCUACGGGAGGCAGCAGUGGGGAAUAUUGCACAAUGGGGGAAACCCUGAUGCAGCGACGCCGCGUGAGCGAAGAAGUAUUUCGGUAUGUAAAGCUCUAUCAGCAGGGAAGAAAAAAAUGACGGUACCUGACUAAGAAGCCCCGGCUAACUACGUGCCAGCAGCCGCGGUAAUACGUAGGGGGCAAGCGUUAUCCGGAUUUACUGGGUGUAAAGGGAGCGCAGGCGGUGCGGCAAGUCUGAUGUGAAAGCCCGGGGCUCAACCCCGGGACUGCAUUGGAAACUGUCGUACUUGAGUAUCGGAGAGGUAAGUGGAACUCCUAGUGUAGCGGUGAAAUGCGUAGAUAUUAGGAGGAACACCAGUGGCGAAGGCGGCUUACUGGACGAUAACUGACGCUGAGGCUCGAAAGCGUGGGGAGCAAACAGGAUUAGAUACCCUGGUAGUCCACGCCGUAAAC
rnacentral:rRNA from 1 species